GAUGAACGCUGGCGGCGUGCCUAAUACAUGCCAGUCGAGCGAACAGACGAGGAGCUUGCUCCUCUGGCGUUAGCGGCGGACGGGUGAGUAACACGUGGAUAACCUACCUAUAAGACUGGGAUAACUUCGGGAAACCGGAGCUAAUACCGGAUAAUAUAUUGAACCGCAUGGUUCAAUAGUGAAAGACGGUUUUGCUGUCACUUAUAGAUGGAUCCGCGCCGCAUUAGCUAGUUGGUAAGGUAACGGCUUACCAAGGCAACGAUGCGUAGCCGACCUGAGAGGGUGAUCGGCCACACUGGAACUGAGACACGGUCCAGACUCCUACGGGAGGCAGCAGUAGGGAAUCUUCCGCAAUGGGCGAAAGCUUGACGGAGCAACGCCGCGUGAGUGAUGAAGGUCUUCGGAUCGUAAAACUCUGUUAUUAGGGAAGAACAAAUGUGUAAGUAACUAUGCACGUCUUGACGGUACCUAAUCAGAAAGCCACGGCUAACUACGUG
rnacentral:rRNA from 1 species